rnacentral:rRNA from 1 species
GACGAACGCUGGCGGUGUGCUUAACACAUGCAAGUCGAACGGUAAGGCCCUUUCGGGGGUACACGAGUGGCGAACGGGUGAGUAACACGUGAGUAACCUGCCCUCAUCUCUGGGAUAACAGUCGGAAACGGUUGCUAAUACUGGAUAUGAGCUUGCAAGGCAUCUUGUGGGUUGGAAAGAUUUUUUUUGGUUGGGGAUGGACUCGCGGCCUAUCAGCUUGUUGGUGAGGUAGUGGCUCACCAAGGCUUCGACGGGUAGCCGGCCUGAGAGGGCGACCGGCCACAUUGGGACUGAGAUACGGCCCAAACUCCUACGGGAGGCAGCAGUGGGGAAUAUUGCACAAUGGACGGAAGUCUGAUGCAGCAACGCCGCGUGCGGGAUGACGGCCUUCGGGUUGUAAACCGCUUUCAAUUGUGACGAGGCUUUUUUGUGACGGUAGCAGUAGAAGAAGCACCGGCUAACUACGUG